UAAACGUGUGCAAGCUUGAUUUCUUUUCAUCUUCUUAUUCUAUUGCAAUUGUUUGUUGCUUGAUCAUUGACAAAAGGAGUUAGUGGUGUUCUCAAAGUGACGUCUCUAACUUUUGAUCAGAUGGCCGACACCUUUCAACCGAUAUGGAUACAACUUCAAGGAUUCCUCCCCUUCCAUUUGCUAUUCCAACUUCAUUGCCAUUUGAUGAGUGAUCAGAUACUAACACAAACCUCCCAGCCUCUUGUGAAAACAAGAUGACUUGAUCAGAGGCAGGGAUAUCUUAUCCAAGAACAAGCACCACCAGCCAACAACCCUCCAAUGCUGCUACACCAACUCAACCGACCCUAAAAGGACCAAGUAACGUUAGAUCUUCGUUUCAAGUCGGGAUUUCUUCUACUCCUGGUGGUUUUUCUCCUCCACAACCUACACAAGAUGUUGCCUCUGUGAGGCUUUCCAGGUGAAGGAAGUUCAGGGGGAGCAGGCCCAUCUAUCUCAGAGCUCAAGGAGGAGAUCACUACUCUCAAACAGAAGACCUGAGUCCAUCCUAGCUCAAACCAAGGGGGAGAUUGUUAGGUCAUAAUUUUGUGGUUUGAGCUAGGCAUUCAUCUUGUAUAGGUCUUGGUAGGGUCUUGGGGUUUGCUAUGUUGGUUGUAGUAUGUUAGCGAGUGUGUGCGGCUGCACACUCUGUGUGCGGCCAUAUACGUGUGUGCGGCUGCACACUCUGUGUGCGGCCAUACACGCGUGUGCGGCUGUACACACGUGUGCGGCUGGUGGUCCUAUAAAUAGAGUGUGUCUGUGUCAGUUGUAAAGAGAAUUCAGUGACGUAUGUGUGUGUUUUCCCAAGGUGUACCUGACAUUUAUAUGAUAUAGAUGUGUGCAUGCUUGGAUUAAUUCUUCUUCUACUCCUUCUACACUGUGUUUGAUUGUUUGCCUUAAUUGAUCACUGAUUUGGAUCCAUAGUUUUUGGGACUUACAAUUGGUAUUAGAGCCAAUUCAGUAUCAAUUUGAAAUAUUUUAGAGUGUGCAGUUGGAGUUUGAAGGUGUGCGGUUGUUGUGUGCAGUUGGAGUGUGCGGUUGAGUGUGCGGUUGGAGUGUACGGGUUGAGUCUCCGGUUAGAGUGUGCGGUUGAGUGUGCAGUUGAGUGUGCGGUUGGGACUCAGGCUUGUAAUGACCUGGGUCCCCAAAUCUAAAUAAUCCCGCUCAUUGUGCAGGACCAGCUGCGGAUGAAUGUCGUCAAACCUUGGUAGGUCGACAGCGGUUGUUCCUCGCACAUUGAUAGGAGACAUCUCCCAACUGCACAUCAUUCAGACUUUUAAUGGGGGCUAUGUUUCCUUCACGGGAGGAGAUGGAGGGAAGAUAACUCAAAAAGGAAUAGUUGUAAAUGGAGUGCUGAGUUUUGAGAACGUCAUCUAUGCUCCUGAGUUAAAGUAUAGCUUGUUCAGUGUCUCACAGAUCAGCUUGUAGACUCCGGAUAAUGAUAUAAGGUUAAGCAGUGAAGACCUCGAUGUAAUAGUGUUUACAGAGUGUUCCAUCGAGUUGUACCUAACAUUUUUCAGAUACAAAUGUGUGCAAGCUCGAUUUCUUUUCGUCUUCUUAUUCUAUUGCGAUUGUUUGUUGCUUGAUCAUUGACAAAAGGAGUUAGUGGUGUUCUCAAAGUGACGUCUCCAACUUUUGAUCAGAUAGCCGAAACCUUUCAACCGAUAUGGAUACAACUUCAAGUAUUCCUCCAUUCCAUUUGCUAUUCCAACUUCAUUGCCAUUUGAUGAGUGAUCAGAUACUAACACAAACCUCCCAGCCUCUUGUGAAAACAAGAUGACUUGAUCAGAGGCAGGGAUAUCUUAUCCAAGAACAAGCAUUACAAGUCCAACAACCCUCCAAUGCUGCUACACCAACUCAACCGACCCUAAAAGGACCAAGUAACGUUAGAUCUUCGUUUCAAGUCGGGAUUUCUUCUGCUCCUGGUGGGUUUUCUCCUCCACAACCUGCACAAGACGUUGCCUCUGUGAGGCUUGCCAGGUGAAGGAAGUUCAGGGGGAGCAGGCCCAUCUAUCUCUGAGCUCAAGGAGGAGAUCACUACUCUCAAACAGAAGACCUGAGUCCAUGCUAGAUCAAACCAAGGGGGAGAUUGUUAGGUCAUAAUUUUGUGGUUUGAGCUAGACAUUCAUCUUGUAUAGGUCUUGGUAGGGUCUUGGGGUUUGCUAUGUUGGUUGUAGUAUGUUAGCGAGUGUGUGCGGCUGCACACUCUGUGUGCGGCCAUACACGCGUGUGCGGCUGUACACACGUGUGCGGCUGGUGGUCCUAUAAAUAGAGUGUGUCUGUGUCAGUUGUAAAGAGAAUUCAGUGACGUAUGUGUGUGUUUUCCCAAGGUGUACCUGACAUUUAUAUGAUAUAGAUGUGUGCAUGCUUGGAUUAAUUCUUCUUCUACUCCUUCUACACUAUGUUUGAUUGUUUGCCUUAAUUGAUCAAUGAUUUGGAUCCAUAGUUUUUGGGACUUACAAUUGGUAUUAGAGCCAAUUCAGUAUCAAUUUGAAACAUUUUAGAGUGUGCAGUUGGAGUUCUAAGGUGUGCGGUUGUUGUGUGCGGUUGGAGUGUGCGGUUGAGUGUGCGGUUGGAGUGUACGGGUUGAGUCUCCGGUUAGAGUGUGCGGUUGAGUGUGCAGUUGAGUGUGCGGUUGGGACUCAGGCUUGUAAUGACCUGGGUCCCCAAAUCUAAAUAAUCCCGCUCAUUGUGCAGGACCAGCUGCGGAUGAAUGUCGUCAAACCUUGGUAGGUCGACAGCGGUUGUUCCUCGCACAUUGAUAGGAGACAUCUCCCAACUGCACAUCAUUCAGACUUUUAAUGGGGGCUAUGUUUCCUUCACGGGAGGAGAUGGAGGGAAGAUAACUCAAAAAGGAAUAGUUGUAAAUGGAGUGCUGAGUUUUGAGAACGUCAUCUAUGCUCCUGAGUUAAAGUAUAGCUUGUUCAGUGUCUCACAGAUCAGCUUGUAGACUCCGGAUAAUGAUAUAAGGUUAAGCAGUGAAGACCUCGAUGUAAUAGUGUUUACAGAGUGUUCCAUCGAGUUGUACCUAACAUUUUUCAGAUACAAAUGUGUGCAAGCUCGAUUUCUUUUCGUCUUCUUAUUCUAUUGCGAUUGUUUGUUGCUUGAUCAUUGACAAAAGGAGUUAGUGGUGUUCUCAAAGUGACGUCUCCAACUUUUGAUCAGAUAGCCGAAACCUUUCAACCGAUAUGGAUACAACUUCAAGUAUUCCUCCAUUCCAUUUGCUAUUCCAACUUCAUUGCCAUUUGAUGAGUGAUCAGAUACUAACACAAACCUCCCAGCCUCUUGUGAAAACAAGAUACUUGAUCAGNUUUGAUCAGAUAGCCGAAACCUUUCAACCGAUAUGGAUACAACUUCAAGUAUUCCUCCAUUCCAUUUGCUAUUCCAACUUCAUUGCCAUUUGAUGAGUGAUCAGAUACUAACACAAACCUCCCAGCCUCUUGUGAAAACAAGAUGACUUGAUCAGAGGCAGGGAUAUCUUAUCCAAGAACAAGCAUUACAAGUCCAACAACCCUCCAAU
rnacentral:lncRNA from 1 species